rnacentral:rRNA from 1 species
AAGUGGAGCAAUCCACUAGUACAGUGGCGUACGGGUGAGUAACACGUGACUAACCUACCCUCGAGUGGGGAAUAACCUCGGGAAACCGGGGCUAAUACCGCAUAACAUCUACGGAUCAAAUGCGUAAGCAGCUUGAGGAGGGGGUCGCGGCCGAUUAGCUAGUUGGCGGGGUAAUGGCCCACCAAGGCAAUGAUCGGUAGCCGGCCUGAGAGGGCGCACGGCCACACUGGAACUGAAACACGGUCCAGACUCCUACGGGAGGCAGCAGUGGGGAAUUUUGCGCAAUGGGGGAAACCCUGACGCAGCAACGCCGCGUGGAGGAUGAAGCCCCUUGGG